rnacentral:rRNA from 1 species
UACGAAGGGUGCAAGCGUUACUCGGAAUUACUGGGCGUAAAGGGUGCGUAGGUGGUUUGUUAAGUCUGCUGUGAAAUCCCCGGGCUCAACCUGGGAAUGGCAGUGGAUACUGGCGAGCUAGAGUGCGGUAGAGGGUAGUGGAAUUCCCGGUGUAGCAGUGAAAUGCGUAGAGAUCGGGAGGAACACCAGUGGCGAAGGCGGCUACCUGGACCAGCACUGACACUGAGGCACGAAAGCGUGGGGAGCAAACAGG